UCAGAUCUGAGCAUGACCCGUCGUGGCCCCCACCACCAGAGGGGGCAACCACAAGGUGUACUCUGACUGGCCUAGAUCAGCCCCCUUGUGGGCAGCAAGUCAGAACACACUGCUUGGGUCAGCCAGCGGCAGGUGCCCAUUCCUGGACCUGGUGGGGUUAGAGACUUGACAAGAAGGAAAAAUGGAGAGUAGUGGGUUCCAGGGAGCAACUGCCGAGCACCUGAUACUUGAAGGCCUUUCUGGCUGCUAGAUGCCGCUGUCAAGAAGGCACCAUCCUCCAGUUCAAUUGAGCAGACUUUAUUGAGCACCUAUUAAGUGCAAGGCACUGUGCUAGGUGCUGUGGGAAAUACAGAGAGUGAACACAGAAAGCCCUGCCCACGAGGAGCUCACAGUCUAGAAAAAGAGGUGGCAGUCUGGAGCAUGGGGAAGAAUGCAGGCCCAGGGAUCAUUCGGCAUCACUGCCUACUUAUUCUUUAACCCCGGACAACUUCUCCGAGUCUACCGAAAGAGGGUGGCGUCCUCUGCCCUGCCACCUGCUUCACAGGAAUGCCGUGGAACACAGGAUGCAGAACCACCUGCAGGAGUUUCAGGAAACGCUGCUGCAGACACUCCCCAAGGUGGUUCAGAAAACCUACCGGGAAGGCACACUGGGAGUAUCAACACUGAGCCGAGUAUCAAGGGGAGUCUGAGAACAAUGACUUCUUAAAGUAAUGGUUUGAGAAUUGAACUUUAAAAUAUUAGAUUUAACUACACGAUA